rnacentral:lncRNA from 1 species
ACAGAUCCGGUAUACUAUUUAUAUCACUAUUGCGGAAGAUAUAAACAUAAAUUGUUUAUACAUUAAACUUUUACACAUCAGUCCCAAGGUCUACAACCUUAACUUAAUACAUACCUUCAAUAUCUUAGAAGAUUUACAAUACUAUUUUCAUCAAAAAAUUUAAUAGAGCUAACUACAACAUAAAUAAACUUUGCACUUUGUCUUUGCCUCUGUCCUUAUUCAAGCCUUCAUCUUAAUCUGAAAAUUUUAUCAUGAUAUAGCAAGGGUGAGCAACAAAUUUGCCCAACAAGUUUUACAUACAAUGGAGAUAUAUCAUGAUUGAAAAGAAUGAAUAAGCUUUCAAGUUUUCAAAAAUAUGAUAAUUGUGAAAUAACAUGAGUCAAGUUUCAAUAAUUGCAUGACUGAAUCAAUAAUGUUUGAAAGUCAACAAUGACUAUGAAUAAUUUAACUGAACCUUAUGGUAAUGAAGGUGAUCAGCCAUUCAUACCUGAUGAACAUAUGCAACAUGCACUAAGUGUGAAUCAAUAAUCAGUAUAGACGUGAAUAAUCAUCAAUAAUCAUUCACUAACAUGCUUUGUAAUAUAACUCGAGUUUGAGUUAAGGAAACUUGCACAAUAAUUAGAAGUUCAAGUUUAGGAACUUGCCUGCAUAGUCGAUUACCGCUACACAAUUUAAUUUAACUUCUUUAUUGAAAAGACCUAUCAAAUAUAAGAUUGAUCUUCCAAUUAGUAAUUCAUACCUUAUUCCAUAAUACUAUCUAACACUUGAUCACGUAAUCAAAUAUUGGAUAAUCUUAACACCAUAUUCAUUUACUUGCUUAUAAUCUCAUCAUCUUAUAUUAACUUGUCUAACCUUCAUUCUCAAAGUUAAGUAUUAGACAUUACACCUUAGUCUUAGUAUUAUCAUUAUACUUUGAUAAUCCUUUCAUCACUUAUAACUUAUACUUAUAAGUUUUCCCUUUAUAUGUUAUCUUAGUAAGUUAGAUAGCCUUUCAGUAAACUGAAAUAUCAUUUCAGUAAACCGAAUUACAUUUCAGCAUCCUGAAAUCACUAUUUCAGCAGACCAAAUCAUUUCAGCAAACUGAAACCGUUUCAGCAACCCAAAAUCAAUUUCAGUACCCUGAAUUCUCAUUUCAGUCCAUUACAAGCAUAACAUAGUUCAUUGAAUACCAAAUUCACCAAUUAUAUGGAAAAAUAACAUAAAUCUAUUAUUUUAAUCUCCCGUCGAAUAUUAUUAAUAUGUAAUAAUAUUUUACACUAAGCUUACUAACUUUUUAAUAACAUUCUAGCCAAAUAUUACUAAUAAUAUCUCAAUACAAUAUUAUUAGUCACAUAAAAAUAAUUUAUGUCAUUAAUCACUUUAAUAAACAAUUUAUUUCAAUUGUUUUCUAUUCCUUAAUUAAUAAACUUGUUUAAGCAUUCUAAAAUGCCAUAAACAUCACAACACCUCAUAUCCGACCCAAACAUUCAUCAAAAAUAUGCACAAAACAUGCUCAAGGGUCUCACGUCGAAAAACUUUAUUUUCCAUAUUUCUAAAUUUUACCCUGUCUCGCUAAAACAGUCAUAACUUUCACGUUUUAAAACAUUUUUGAGCGAUUCUUGAGCCCACGCGAAGCUAACUUCCAGGGAUACAACUUUUAUCUCACAAUGUUUUUCCAAAAUCCGAACACAUCAGUCAGAAAAUUAAGAAAAAGGAGGCUGUUCGGGAUUUUGGUGGACAGUUUUGAUAUACUCCUUCCGAACGUCAUAACUACCUCAUCCAGAGUCGGAAUUAGUCCGUUCCAGAGUCUACGGAAAGCUCAUUUAAUGUAAUACAACAUAUAAAAAGCCCAUAAGUUUUAAAGUACAAAAACUGGACGAAAUUGCCCCUGACAUUGGCUGCCCCGAAACUGUCCCUAAAACCGGGACUGUUUUGGCUAAAACAGUCACUACGCCAUGAAAACUCAACAUUUUUUAGGGCUACCACUUGGGUUAACUACUACACACAUAUAUCUAACACCCCUCUUUGACGGAUCACAAAAAGGAGCUAUAGAUUUAAAAUGGUGGAUUUUCAAAAUACAUAGAAAUUUUGGUUUUCAAAUCUAGAAAAUCACUUUUCUAUUCCUUUUGGUUUCCAACCAAAUCAACACCCAUCAUGGGUAGAUCCAUACUAGAAUCAAAGAAAAGCACAUAGAUCAUAGGGUUUGAGCUUCAUACUCAAAAACCCCUCUUUCAAUUUCAUAGAAAAAUUAGAGAGAGAAAAGUUAUACCUUCCUUUCCUCUUCUUCUUCUUCCUUCUUCUUCCAUGGAGAAUCUUCUCCAUCUUCUUCCCACACAAGGCUGCCGCCCCUCCUCUUCUCUCUCCCUCUCGGUUUUUGGCCGAGCUUCUCUCUCUUUCUCUU